CAAGUAAUAUAAGAUUUGGUGAAAGCAAGAUAUCUUUAAAAAUUCUCUAACCUUUCGUUCUUCCAUCUAAAGGUGAAGUUGAGGGAAGAAACCUAACUCCUUGAGUCAAUGCUGAUGAUGAAGAUCAGAAGCUUAACAUGUGAAAACAUGCAUGGCCUGAUGCUAUCAAAGAUGCUCUGAUGGCUUCCUUGUAUGAGAUUUACAAUAAAAUCUCCACAUGCUAGCUGUUAGAUCUCAAUCAAGUUACAGAUUGAAGAAAAACAAGAUAUUUUGAAUGCAAUUCGGGAUACAUGGAACCUCACAUGUCUCAAGUAUUUGUUGUGGAAGAUAAUGGAUAGGUCGAUUGAUUUGCCUCUAAUGUUAUCUAUGUACAAUGUUCCACAAUAUGUGUUUUGUCAUACAAGACUCUCAAAUGAUUAAUGAUGUCUUUUGUUGUACAUGACCCUCUUAAUGAUUAAAGAUGCUCUUUCAUUUA